CCCUUAGAUGUCCUGGGCCGCACGCGCGCUACACUGAUGCAUGCAACGAGUUUCAUUUCUCCUGGGUCGAGAGGCCCGGGUAAUCUGUUGAACGUGCAUCGUGAUAGGGAUAGAUCAUUGCAAUUAUUGAUCUUGAACGAGGAAUUCCUAGUAAACGCGAGUCAUCAGCUCGCGUUGAUUACGUCCCUGCCCUUUGUACACACCGCCCGUCGCUACUACCGAUUGAACGGUUUAGUGAGGGCCUCGGAUUGGUCUCGGCCCGCUCUUUACCGGGCGGCGCCGUUGGUCGAGAAGACGCUCGAACUUGAUCGUUUAGAGGAAGUAAAAGUCGUAACA
rnacentral:rRNA from 1 species